rnacentral:lncRNA from 1 species
CACUCCUUCAGAGAUGCGCAGUGCUGCCCCUUUCUAUGGGCAGGGCCGAAGGUCCGCGUGUAAAAGUACCCAGUCCCUGGUAACCUGACACUUCCCUUUUAAAAGCCACCUUUUGUCUAUCUCUGGCCUGCCACGAUUCUUCCUGUGCUCCAUAGGAGGACCCAUUGGACCCCCGGGCUGGCUGCAGGGCCCACACCUGGGUUAGACCUCGCACAGGGACGCUGCUGCCACUGUAAUAAAGCGUGCCUACACGCUUCUGAAACUGGUGUAGGAACAACCUCAGUUCUGUGAAAGGCGGACGCAGCAGGACAGAAUCUCCGUGGACAUCUGUCUGGAGGAGCAAUUUUACUGCGACAUUUUAAAGAAACAAAUUUAAUUGAUUUCCAAGACUGGAGUGGGUUCAUAUUUAUCAUGCUGGAAGGAGUGUAGAAAAAUAGAGGAAUGAAGAAGGAAAACAACGCAAGUCAUUCUAUGUACUGUGGAAACAAACUGACAGUGGGUUUAGAAAAAAACAACAGAGGAAGAAGGUCUGAGUAGUCCCAGGCUGGAGUGUGACAAAGGAAAAUCUAAAAGGUCAACUUCAUUUACAGGAAAGAGCAUAGGAAAACAGACAAAAGAACAAAGAAGAAAAACAAUAGCAAGUCACUCUAAGUACUGUGGAAAUAAACUAAAUGUCAGGUUAGGAAUAGAACAGUGAAAGAAGGUCCCAGUAGUCCCAAGGACUCGGGAGGCUGAGACACGAAGACUGCCCAGGUGAGACUACAGAGACUGAAGUUGCAGUGAAUCAUCACAUCCUGCUACUGGACUUGAACAGUACUGCUGCUGAUGAGAGCCAUCUGGGCGACCUUCGACAUGGCAAGGUGCGAGCCAUCUGAUCAGCCUUAGACAUGGCAAGGCAAGAGCCAUCUGGUCAACCUUAGAAGUGACAAGGGACAGCCACCUGGUCGACCUUUGACAUGGCAGGAUGACAGCCAUCUGGUCGACCUUAGAGAUGGGAAUGCAAGAGGCUUCAGGUCCACCUUCAACAUGGUAAGGCUAAAGCCAUCUUGUCCAGCUUAGACAUGGCAAGGCAAGAGCCAUAUGGUCCACCUUAGUCAUGGGAAGGCAAGAGCCAUCUUGUUGACCAUAGACAUGGUAAGGUGGGAGCCAUCAAGUCUGCCUCAGACAUAGCAAGGUGAGAACCAUCUGGUCAACCUCAGACAUGGGAAAGUGAGAGCCAUCUGAUCUACUUCAGACAUGGCAAGGCAAGAGGCAUCUUGACCUCAGACAUGGCAAGGAAAGAGCCAUCCGGUCGACUUUAGAGAUGGAAAUGCGAAAAGGGUUUGGGUCCACCUUAAGCAUGGAAAGGCAAGAGGCAUCUGGUCUAGUUUAGGCAUGGCAAGGCAAGAGACAUAUGGUUUACCUUAGUCAUGGGAAGGUGAGAGCCAUCUGGUCGACCAUAGACAUGGCAAGGUGGGAACCAUCAAGUCCACUUCAGACAUGGCAAGGUGAAAGCCAUCUUGGUCAACCUUAGACAUAGGAAGUUGAGAGCCACAUGGUCUACUUAAGGCAUGGCAAGGCAACAAGCAUCUGGUCAACCUCAAACAUGGCAAGGCAAGAGCCAUCUGGUCAACAUUAGAGAUGGUAAUGCAAGAGGCUUCAGAUCCAUCUUAGACAUGGUAAGGCAAGAAGCAUCUCAUCUAGCUUAGACAUGGCAAAUCAAGAGCCAUGUGGUCCACCUUAGUCAUGGGAAGGUGAGAGCCAUCUCGUUGACCAUAGACAGGGCAAGGUGGGAGCCAUCAAGUCCACCUCAGACAUGGCAAGGCGAGAGCCAUCUAGUCUGCCUCAGACAUGGCAAGGUGAGAGCCAUCUGGUUAACUUUAGACAUGGGAAGGAGAGCCAACUGGUUGGCCUCAGACAUGGAAAGGCUAGAGCCAUCCAGUCGACCUCAGAAAUGGGAAAGAGAGAGCCAUCUGGACAACCUUAAACAUGACAAAAUGAGAGCCAUCUGGUAGACUUUAGACAUAGAAUGGCAAGAGCCAUCUGGUCAAUCGUAGAUGUGGCAAGGUGAGAGCCAUCUGAUUGACCUAGACAUGGCAAGGUGAGAGACAUCUGGUCGACUGAAGACAAGGAAAAAUGAAAGCCAUCUGGUUGAGCUUAGACAUGGCAAGGCAAGAGUCAUCUGGCCGACCUUAGACAUGGAAAAAGAAGAGCCAUCUGUUUGACCUUAGACAUGGCAAGGCAAGAUCCAUCUGGUCAACCUUAGACAUGGCAAGGUGAGAGCCAUCUUGUUGAACUCACUCGAAGAGGAGACCCAUCUGGUCAACCUCAGACAUGGCAAGGUGAGAGCCAUCUGAUCGACCUUAGACAUGGCAAGGUGAGAGCCAUCUGGUCGACCUUAGAUAUGGCAAGGUGAGAAUCAUCUGGUCAAUCUUAAACAUGGCAAGGUGAGAUCCAACUUGACCUUAGAUAUGAUGAGGUGAGAACCAACUGUUCAAUCUUAGACAUGGCUAGGCAAGUGCCAUCUGGUCCACCUUAGAUAUGGCAAGGCGAGAGCCAUCUGGUCGACCUUAGACAUGGCAAGGUGAGAGCUGUCUGUUCAUCUUAGACAUGACAAGCUGGCAGCUAAAUGCGAUGCAUGCAGUCGACAUCCAUCUCAAAAUAAAUGAACCAACAGUAAAUAUAUAACAAUAACAAGGAAAUAAUAGUGAACAACCCUAAAGACCAAAUAAUUAAGUAGGAGUGUACAAUAAUAAAAGGUAAUUAAUGUCGCAAUUUAAAAAAACUCCUCUCUCUCUCUGUCUCUCUCUCUAUUUGUCACACACAGGGUGAAGUGUAACCAAAAAAAAAAAAAAAAUCCAAAGGUCAAACUCAGUUUGCAGGAAGGAGCAUAGGAGAAUAAAGGAUGGAACAAAGAAGAAAAAGAACAGCAAGUUACUCUGAGUAUUGUGGAAACAAACUGAAAUUAGAGUGAGAGAGAGAGAGAAAAAAAAAGAAGGUCCGAGCAAUCUCAGAUAUAUGAGAGGCCAAGAUGGGAAGAUCACUUGGGUAAGACUGGGAAGAUUGAGUCUGCAGUGAGUCACAGUCGCAUCAUUCUGCUGGAUUUGAAUGGUACUGCUUCUGGCCCAAGUUGUCUGGGCAACCUUAGACAUGGUAAGGCAAGAGCCAUCUGAUCAACAUUAGACAUGGCAAGGUGAAAGCCAUCUGGUCGACAGGGAUUCUAAUAGAAGACACUCUGGGCCGAUGGCAGACGUCUAAUAAUAGAGACAAAGGGUGAGCCCGGACAUUUUAAUGGGAGAGAAGCCUGGAUGACCCCAGGUAUUCUAAUGUUAGAAACACCUACGUGACUCCAGGCCUCCUAAUGGUGGAGACUCCCAGCCUACCCCAGGCAUUCUCUUGUGAGAGACUUCUGGCUGACCCCAGGCAGUCUAUUUAUGGAGACACCUGGGAGACCCCAGGCAUUCUGGGAGGAACUCCUGGCCAACCGCAGGGAGUCUAAUGAUAGAAACACCUGAACGACCACAGGAAUUCUAAUGGAAGAGACCCCUGGCAGGCCCCAGGCAGUCUAAUGAUAGAGGCACCUGGGUGGCCCCAGGUAUUCUAACCAGAGAGACUCCUGGCCAACCCCAGGCAGUCUAAUCAUAGAGACACCUGGGUGACCCCAGGCAUUCUAAUGAGAAAGACUCCCGUGUGACAGCAGGCAGUCUAAUGAUAGAGACACCUGGGUGACCCUAAGCAUUCUAAUAGGAAAGACUCCUGGCUGACCCCAGGCAGUCUAAUGAUACAGAUACCUGGGUGACCCCAGGCAUUCUAAUGUGAGAGAUGCCCUGCUACAUUCAGGAAGUCUAAUGAUAGAGACAAUUUGACGACCCCAGGCAUUCAAAUGGGAAGGCUCCCAGCCAACCCCAGGCAUUCUAAUGGCAGAGACUCCCCGCUGACCCUAGGCAUUCUAAUGAUAGAGACACCUGGGCCACCCCAGGUAUGGGAGAAACUCUCAGGUAAACUCAAGUAUUCUAACAGAGGUACUCCUGGCUGGCCCCAGGCAGUCUAAUGAUAGAGACAGCUGGGUGACCACGGGUGUUCUAAUGGGAGAGACUCCUGGUCAACCCCAGGCAGUCUAAUUAUUAAAGACACCUGGGCUACCCCAGACAUUCUAAUGGGAGCAACUCCCGACCAACCCCAGGCAGUCUAAUGAUAGAGACAUGUGGGCCAUCACAAGAAUUCUAAUGGAAGAGGUUCCUGGCUGACCCCAGGAGAGACACCAUUCUAAUGGGAGAGACUCUGGGCCGUUUCCAGGCUGUCUAAUGAUAGAGAAACCUGGGCGACUGCAGGCAUUUUAAUGAGAGCGGCUCCUGUCCGAACACCAGCAGUCUAAUGAUAGAGACACCUGGGCAACCCCAGACAUUCUAAUGGGAGAAAAUCCUGUGCAAUCCCAGGCAGUCUAAUUAUAAAGACACCUGGGCAACCCCAGGCAUUCUAAUGGGAGAGACCCCCGGCUGACACCAGGCAUUCUUAUGGGAAUGACUCCUGGCUGAGCCAGGCAGUCUAAAGAUAGAGACACCUGGGCAUACCAAAGCAUUCUAAUGGGAUAGACUAACGGCUGACCCAAGGUAGUCUAAUGAUAGAGACACCUGGAUGGCCCCAGGCAUACUAAUGGAAGAGACUCCUGGCUGACACCAAGCAUUCUAAUGAUAGAGACAACUGAUCAACCCUAGGCAUUGAAAUGGAAGAGACUCCUUCUCGAACCCAAGCAUUCUAAUAAUAGAGACAGCUAAUCAACUACAGGCAUUUUGGAGAAACUCCCGAUCAACCACAGACAUUCUAAUAAUAGAGACACCUGGGCGACCACAGGCAUUCCAAUGGGAGAGACUCCUGGCCAACACCAGGUGGUCUAAUUAUAGAGACACCUGGGUGACCCCACGCAUUCAAAUGGGAGAGACUCCUGGCCGACCCCAGGUGGUCUAAUUAUAAAAAAAAAAAAACCUAGGUGACCCCAGUCAUUCUAAUGGCAGAGACUAUCAGCUGAACCCAGGUAUUCUAAUGGGAGAGACUCCUGGCUGACCCUAGACUACCUUAGGUAGUCUAGUUAUAAACACACCUGGCCAAACCCAGGCAUUUUAAUGGGGAAGACUACUGGCCAAUCCAAAGCAUUCUAAUGAUAGAGACACCUAAGCGACUCCAGGCAUUUUAAUGGGAAAGACUCCCAGCCGACCUGAGACAUUCUAAUGGAAGAGAGCCUUGGUUGACCCCAGGCAAUCAAAGAAUAGUAACACCUGGGCGACUCCAGGCAUUCUAAUAGGAAAGAGUCCUAGAUGACACCAGGAAAUCUAAUUAUAAAAACACCAGGGUGACCCAAGGCAUUGUAAUGGGAGACACUCCUGGCAGAACCCAACAGUCUAACGAUUGAGACACCAGUGCAACUCAAAGCAUUGUAAUGGAAGAGACUCCCGCAGACACCAGACAGUCUAAUAAUAAAUUCACCUGGACGACCCAAGGCAUUCCAAUGGGAAAGACUCCCAGCCGACACCAAGUAGUCUAAUGAUAAAAACACAUGAGUGAUUCCCGGCAUUCUAAUGGGAGAAACUACCAGUUGAUCACAGGCUGUAUCAUGAUAGAGACACAUGCAUUUUAAUGGGAGACACUUCUGGCUGACCUGGGGCAGUCUAAUGAUGGAAACACCUGGGCAAAACCAGGUAUUAUAAUGGGAGAGACUGCUGGCUGAAGCCAGGCAUUGUAAUGAUAGAGACACCUGGGCAAUCCAGGCAUUCUAAUGGGACAGACCUUUGGCUGAUUCCAGGGUUUCUAAUAAUAGAGACACCUGGUCGACCCCUGGCUUUCUAAUGGGAGAGACUUGUGUGGACCGCCAGGCAGUCUAAUGAUAGAGACACCUCGGGGACCCCAGGAAAUCCAAUGGGAGAAACUUCCAGGUGACCCCAUUCAUUCUAAUGAUAGAGACACCUGGGCGACCAGAUGCAUUUUAAUGGAAGAGACUCCUGAACGACCUCAGGCAUUCUUAUGAUAGAGACAGUUGGGAGACCCUAGGCAUUCUAAUAAAUCGAACUCCUGGGCGAUCACAGGCAGUCUAAGAUUAGAGACACCUGGGUGACCACAGACAUUCUAAUGGGAGAGACUCCUUGCUGACCACAGGCAGUCUAAGGAUAGAAACACGUUAGCAUUCGCCAAGACACCUUGGCGAUCACAGGCAUUCUAAUGAAAGAGACUCAUGGCCGACCCUAGGCAGUCUAAUAAUAGACAUACUUGGGUGACCCCAAAAAUUCUAAUGUGAGAGACUCCCAGUUGACGUCAGGCAGUUUAAUAAAUGUGAGAGACUCCCGGCCGACCCCAGGUACUCUAAUGAUAGAAGAACCUGGGCCACAUCUGGCAUUCUAAUGGAAGAGACUCCUGGCCGACCCCAGGCGGUCUAAUGAUAAACCUGGGCGGCCCAAUGCAUUCUAAUGGGAAAAACUCUGGUCCAAACCCCAGCAUUUUAAUGGGAGAGACUCCUGGCUGACCCCAGGUGGUCUAACUAAAGAGACACCUGAGAGAACCCAGGCAUUCUAAUGGGAAAGACUACCGGCCAACCCCAGGCAUUCUAAUGAUAGAGACACCUUGUUGAGCCCAGUCUUUCUAAUGGAAGAGAAUCCCAUCCAACCCAAGACAGUCUAAUAAGACACCUGGGCGACCCCAGGCAUUCUAAAGAGACACCUAGGCGACUCCAGGCGAUAUUAUAGCAGAGACUCCCAGCCAACACCAGACAAUGAAAGAAACUCCCAGCGGAUGCCAGGCAGUCUAAUGAUAGAGACACCUGGGCAACCCCAGGCAUUGUAAUGGGAGAGACUCCGGUCCAAUCCCAGGCAUUCUAAUGAGAGAAACACCUGGCUGACCCCAGGCAGUCUAAUAAUAGAGAACCUGGGUGAACCCAGGAAUGCUACUGAAAGAGACUCCCGGCCAAUCUCAGGCAGUCUAAUGAUACAGACCUCUGUGCAACCCCAGGCAUUCUAAUAAUAAAGACUUCCAGCCGAACCCAGACAGUCUAAUGAUAGAGAGACCUUAACGUCCCCAGACAUUCUAACGAGAAGAACUUCUUGCUGACCACAGGCAGUCUAAUGAUAGAGACACCUGGACAACUCCGGGCAUUCUCAUGGGAGAGAAUCUUGGCCAAACCAAGGCAUUCUAAUUAUAGAGACACCUGGGUAAGCCCAGGCAUUCUAAUGGGAAAGACUCUUGGCCGAACCCAGGCAUUCUAAUGAGAGUCUCCUGGUUGACCCAAGGCAGUCUAAGGAUAGAAACGCCUGGGCGACUCCAGAAAUUCUUAUGGGAGAGACUCCUGGUUAAUCCCAGGCAGUCUAAUGAUACAGACACCUGGGCAACACGAGGAAUUCUAAUUAGAGAGACUCCUGGCCUAUCCAGACAGUCUAAUAACAAAGACACUUGGACAAACCCAGGUAUUCUAACGUGAGAGACUCACGGCCAACCCCAGGCAGUCUAAAUAUAGAAACACCUGGGAGACCCCUGGCAUUUUAAUGAAAAAGACUCCGGUCCGACCCCAGUCAGUCUAAUUAAAAAGACACCUGAGUGACCCCCGGCAUUCUAACAGGAAACACUCCUGGCUGACCCCAGGCUGUCAAAUUAUGGAGAUACAUUGUCUACCCCAGGCAUUUUGAUGGGAGAGAAUCCUGGCCAAACUCAAGCAUUUUAAUGGUAGAGACAACUGGGUGAACCCAGGCAUUGUAAGGGGAUAGGUUCUUGGCCGACACCAGGCAUUCUAAUGAUAGGAACAUCUUGUCAACCCCAGGCUUUCUAAUGGGAGAGACUCCCAUCCAAACCCAGGGAGUCUAAUGAUAGAGACACCUGGAAAGCAUUCAAAUGGAAGAGGUACCAGCUGACCCCAGGCAUUCUAAUGAUAGAGACACCUGAGCGACCAGUGGCAUUCUAAUGAUGGAGACAUUUGAGCGACCACAGGCUUUCUAAUGGGUGACACUCCUGGCUAAACCCAGUGUGUCUAAUGAUAGAGACACCUGGGAGACCCCAAACAUUCUAAUGGGAAGGCUGCCAGCCUAACCCAGGCAUUUUAAUGACAGAGACACCUGGUCGACCCCAGGCUUUCCAAUGGGAGAGACUUUCAUACAAACCAGGCAGUCUAAUAAUAGAGAAACCUGGUUGGUCCCAGACAUUACAAAGGGAGAGACUCCUGGCUGACCCCAGACAGUCUAAUGAUAGAGACAUCUGGUGACACCACACAUUCAAAUGAGAGAGACUCCCCACUGAGCCAAGGCAGUCUAAUGAUAGAGACACCUGGGCAAUCCCAGGUGUUCUAAUGGGAGAGACUCCCGACCGACCCCAGGCGUUCUAAUGAGAGAGACUUCUAGCUGACCACUGGCAGACUAAUGAUAAAGACACUGGGGUGAACCUAGCCAUUCUAACGGGAGAGACUCCCAGCUGACACCAGGCAGUCUAAUGAUAGAGACACUUGGGCGACAACAGGCAUUCUAAUGUGAAAGACUCCUGGCUGACUCAAAGCUGUCUAAUUAUAGAGACAGCUGCAUGAACCCAGGCAUUCGAGAGAAAGAUACCCCUGGCCGACCCCAGGCAGUCUCAUCAUAUAAAAACCUGGGCAAUUCCAGACAUUCUAAUGGGAGAGACUCUCGGCCAACACAAGGCAUUCUAAUGGGAGAGAUUCCUUGCAGACAGCAAGCAAUCUAACAAUAGGGACACCUGGGCAACUGAAGGCAUUGAAAUGAGAGAGACUCCUGGUCAACCCCAGGUAAUCUAAUGAAAGUAAAAACUGGGCGACCCAAGGCAUUCUAACGAAAGAUACUUUCAGCCAACACCAGGUGGCCUAGUGACAGAAACACGAGUGACCCCCAGAAUUUUAAUGGAAGAGACUCCUGGUUGAGCCCAGGCAGUCUAAUGAUAGAGACACCUGUGCAACCCUAUGCAUUCUAAUAAAAAAGAGUCACCACCGACCCCAGGAUUUCUACUGAUAGAGACCCCUGGGCAACCCCAGACAUUUUAAUGGGAGAGAUUCCUGGCCGACCCCAGGAAAUCUAAUAGGAGAAACUGCUGGCCUACCUAAGCAGUAUGAGCUUAGAGACACCUGGGCAUCCACAGGCAUUCCAAUGAGAGAGGAUUGCGCCAGCCCAAGGUAGUCUAAAAAUAGAGACAACUGGGUGACCUCAGGCAUUCUAAUGAAAGGGACCCCCUGCCAACUCCAGGUAGUCUAAUGAUAGAAACACCUGGGCGACCCCCGUCAUUCUAAUGGGAGAGACUCCUGGUCGACCCCAGACGGUCUAAUUAUAGAAACACCUGGGUGACCCCAGGCAUUCUAAUGAUAGAGACACAUGGGCGACUUCAGGCAUUCUAAUGGAAAAGACACCCUGCUUACCCCAGGCAUUCUAAUGAAACAGAUUCCUGGCUGAUAUUAGGCAGCCCUAUCAUAGAGGCAUCUAGGCUACCGCAGAAAUUCUAAUGGGAGAGACUACUAGGCGACUCCAGGCAGUCCAAUGAUACAGACACUUGGGUGACCCUAGGCAUUCUAAUGGCAGAGAACCCUGGCUGACCCCAGGCAGUACAAUAAUAGAGACCCCUGGACAACCCUAGGCAUUUCAAUGGGAAACACUCCCAGCUGUCCCUGAACAUUCUAAUGAUAGAGGAACCUUGGAGACCUCAGGCAUUCUAAUGAAAGAGACUCCUGGCUGACCCCAGGCAUUCUAAUGGGAGAAAUUGCUGGCCAACCUCAGGCCACCUAAUGAUAAAGACACCUGGGCGACCACAGGCAUUCUAAAGGGAGAGACUACCGGUCGACCACAGGCUGUCUGAUGAUAGAGACACCUGCGUGAGCCCAGGCAUUCUAAUAAUAGAGACGCGUUGGUGACCCUCAUCAUUUUAAUAAGAGAGAUUCCUGGGUGAACCCAGGCAUUGUCUUAAGAGAGACUCCUGACUGAAUUCAGGCAGCCUAAUUAUAGAGACACCUGGGUGAACCGAAGCAUUCUAAGGGAAGAGAUCCUUGACCAACAGCAGGCAGUCUUAUGAUAGAGACACCUGGGUGACCACAGGCCUUAUUAUGGGAGAGACUUUUUGCCGAACUUAGGCAGUCUAGUGAUAGAGACAGCUGGGCCACACUAGGCAUUCUUAUGGCAGAGACCCCUGACCAACCCCAGACAUUGUAAUUAUAGAGCAACAUGUUUGACCCCAGGCAUUUUAAUGGGAGAGACUCUCGGUCAACCCCAGGGAUUUUUAUGGGAGAGACUACUGGCCAACACAAGGUAGUCUAAUGAAAAAGACACCUGGGCAACCCCAUGCAUUCCAGUGGGAGAGACUCCUGGCCCAACCAAGUUAGUCUAAUAGGGACACCUGGGUAACCACAGGAAUUCUAAUGGGAGAGACCCCUAACCGACCUCAGGCAUUCUAAUGAUAGAAACACCUGGGCAACCACAGGCAUUCUAAUGGGGGAGACUCCCGGCCAACUUCAGCCAUUCUAAUGGGAGAGACUCCUGGCCGAACCCAAGCAGUCUAAUGAUAAAGACACAUGGGUGACCACAGGCAUUCUAACAGGAAAGACUCCAGGUAGACCCCAGGCUGUCUAAAGAUAGAGACACCUGGGCAACCACAGACAUUCUAAUGGGAGAUACUGCCAGCUGACCCCAGUCAUUCUAAUAAGACAGACACCUGGCUGACCCUGGGCAGUCUAAUGAUAAAGACAUCUGGACGACCCCAGGCAUUCUAAAGGGAGAAACUACUGGCCGACUGCAGGCUGUCUAAUGAUAGAGACAGCUCCUCGAGCUCAGGUAUUCAUGGGAGAGAUUCCCAACUGACAUUAGAAUGGCAGGCAUUCUAAUGAUAGAGACACCUGGGCGACCACAGGUAUUGUAAUGGGAGAGGUUCCCCAUCGUCCACACUCAUUGUAAUGAUGGAGGCACCUGAACGAUCUCAGGUAUUGUCAUGAUAGAGACACCUGUGCGACCCCAGGCACUCAAAUGGGAGAGACUCCCAGCAGACACCAGGCAGUCUAAUGAGAGAGAUUCCUGGCUGAACCCAGGCAGUCAAAUGAUAAAGACAUCUGGGCAAAACCAGGCAUUCUAAAGGGAGAGACUCCUGGCUAACCCCAGGCAGUCUAACAGUAGACACCUGGGCGACCUCAGUCAUUCUAAUGGGAGAGGCUCAGCCCACCCCAGUGAUUCUAAUGGGAGAGACUUGUCUGAUCCCAGGCAGUUUAAGGUUAGAGACUCCUGAGCAACACCCAGGCAUUCUAAUAUGAGAGACUCCCGGCUGACAUAAGGAAGUCUAAAGAUAGAGACACCUGAGCAACCAGAGGCAUUCUAAUGGGAGAGACUCUCAUGCGAUCCCAGGCAGUCUUAUGAUAGAGACACCUAGGCAAUCGCAGGCAUUUUAAUGGGAGAGACUCCCGGUCAUCCAGAGGCAUUGUAAUGAUGGAGACAUCUGGAAGAUGGCAAGCAUUGUAAUGAUAGGGACACCUGUGUGACCCCAGGCACACAAAUGGGAGAAACUCCCAGCCAACACCAGGCAUUCUAAUAAGAGAGAUUCCUGGCUGACCCCAGGUGGUCAAAUGAUAAAGACACGUAAGCGAAACCAGGCAUUCUAAUGAGAGAGACUCCUGGCUAACCCCAGGCAGUCUAAUAAUAGAGACACGUGGGCAACCCCAGUCAUUCUAAUGGGAGAGACUCCCAGCCACCCUCAGUGAUUCUAAUGGAAGAGACUCUUGUCUGACCCUAGGCAGGUGAGAUUCCUGGGCGACUCCAGGCAUUCUAAUAAGACAAAUUCCCAGCCCAAGCAAGACAGUCUAAGGAUACACAGCUGAGCAACAUCAGGCAUUUUAAUGGGAGAGACUCCUGGCUGAAUCCAGACAGUCUAAUUAUACAGACUCCUGGGUGACUGCAGGCAUUCUAAUGAAAGAGACUCCCAGCUGAACCCAGGCAGUGUGAUUAUAGAGACACUUAGGUGACCCCAGACAUUCUAAUGGGAGAGACUCCUGGAUGACCCCAUUCUAAUGAUAGAGACACCUGUGCGACCCCAGGCUGUCUAAUGAUAGAGACAGCUGGGGAACCUGAGGCAUUCUUAUGGGAGAGGCCCAGGGCCAACCCCAGGUAUUCUAAUGAUAGAGACACUGGGCGACACUAGACAUUUUAAUGAGAGAGACAACCAACCAGCCCAAGGCAGUCUAGUGAUACAAACACCUGGUCGACCCCAGGCAUUCUACUGAAAGAAACUCCUGGCCAAACCCUGGCAUUCUAAUGAUAGAGACAAGUGAGCAUUUUAGUAAUAGAGACACCUGGGCUACAACAGGCAUUUUUUUAUGUGAGAGACUCCUGGCAACCCCAGGCAUUCUAAUGGAGAGACUCCUGGCUGACCACAGGCAGUCUAAUGAUAGAGACACUUGAGUGACCCCAGACAUUAUAAUGGAAGAGACUCCUGGCCGACAUCUUGCAGUCUAAUUUAAGUGACAACUGAGUGAACACAGGCAUUCUAAUGGGAGAGACUCCUGGCUGACCAAGGCAGUCUGUGGAUAGAGACACCUGGGUGACCCCAGGCAUUCUAAUGGGAAAGAUUUCUAGUUGACCACUGGCAGUCUAAUUAUAGAGACACAUGGGAGACCCCGGGCAUUCUAAUGAAAGAGACUCCUGGCCAACCCCAGGCAAUCUAAUGAUAGAGGCACCUGGGCGACCCAAGGCAUUCUAAUGGGAGAGACUCCUGGCCAACCUCAGUGAUUGUAAUGGAAAAGACUCUUGUCCGCCUUCAGGCUAUCUAAGGAUAAAAGCUCCUUGGUACCUCCAGGCAUUCUAAUGAGAGGGACUCCCAGCCAAAUCCAGGCAGUCUAAUGAUAGAGACACUUGGGUGACCCCAGGCAUUUUAAUAGGAGAGACUCCUGACCUGCCCCAGGCAGUUUAAUUUUACACACUUCUGGGAGACCCCAGACAUUGUAAUGAAAAAGACCCCCGGCCAACCCCAGGCAGUGUGAUGAUAGAGACAAUUGGGCUACUCCAGGCAUUCUAAUGGGAGAGGCUCCCAGACAACCUUAGGCAUUCUAAUGAUAGAGACACCUCUGUGACUCCAGACAGUCUAAUGGGAGUGACUGCAGUCAAACCCACACAUUCUAAUGGGGGAGACUCCCUGCCAACCUCAGGCAGUUUAAUGAUAGAGAUACCAGGGCGACCCCAGGCAUUGUAAUGAGAGCGACUGCUUGCUGACCUAAGGCAAUGUAAUGAUAGACACACCUGGGAGACCCCAGGCAUUCUAAUGGGAGAGAUUCCUAGUUGACCACAGUCAGUCUAAUUAUACAGACAGCAGGGCUACCCCAGGCAUUCUAAUGGGAUAGGCUCCUGGCCCACCCCAGGCAGUCUAAUGAUAGAGACAUAUAGGCGACCACAAGCAUUCUAAUGAAAGAGACUCCUGGCUGACCCCAGGCAGUCUAAUGAACAGAAGAAACUCCUGGCCAAACCCAGGCAGUCUAAUUAUGCAGAGUCCUGGGAGACCCCAGGCAUUCUAAUGAAAAAGACUCCCAGCCAAACCCAGGCAAAGUGAUAGAGAAACUUGGGUGACUGCAGGCUUUCUAAUGAGACAGACUCCUGGCUGAUCCGAGGCAUUCUAAUGUUAGAGACACUUGGGCGACCCCAGGCAUUAUAAUAUAAUGAUAGAGACACCUUUGCCACCCCAGGCAGUCUAAUGAUAGAGAUACAUUGGCGACCCCAGGGAUUCUAAUAAGAGAGACUCUUGCUUAAACACAGUGAUUCUAAUAGAAGAGACUUGUGUCCUACUCGAGGCAGUCUAAGGAUAGAGACUCCUGGGUGAUCCCAGCAUUCUAAUGGGAGAGACUCCUGGCAGAACCCAGGGAAUCUAAUGAUAGAGACACCAGGGUGACCCCAGACAUUCUAAUGGGUGAGAUUUUUGGCCGACAAUAGGCAGUUCAAUUAUACAGACUCCUGGGCAAUCCCCAGCAUUUUAAUGGGAGACACUACCCAUGGACCCCAGGCAGUCUAAUUAUAGAGACAAUUGAAUGACACCACACAUUCUAAUGGAAGACACUUCCGGAUGACCCAGACAUCCUAAUGAUAGAGACACUUGUGCAACCCCAGCCAGCCUAAUGAUAGAAACACCUGGGCGACUUUAGGCAUUCUUACGGGAGAGACCUCCAGCUGACCCCAGUAAUUCUGAUGAUAGAGACCCCUGGUUGACCCCUGUCAUUCUGAUGGGAGAAACUCCUGGCUGACACAAUGUAGUCUAAUGGUAGAAACAUCUUGGCGACCCCAGGCAUUCUAAUGGGAGAGACUCCUGACAAAACUUUGGCAUUCUAAUGAUAAAGACAAGUGGGCAACCCCAAGCAUUGUAAUGGUAAAGACACCUGGGUGAUCCCAGGAAUUCUAAUGUGAGAGACUCCUGGCCAACCCCAGGCAUUCUAAUAAAGAGACUUCUGUCUGACCACAGGCUGUCUAGUGAUAGAGAUACCAGGGUUACUCCAGGCAUUCUAAUGAAAGAGACUCCUGGCGGACCCCAGACAGUCUAUUUAAAGUGAUAACCUGGGCCACCACAGGCACUCUAAUGGAAGAGACUCCUGGCUGACCCCAGGCAUUCUAAUGGGAGAGAAUCCUGGCCGAACCCAGGCAGCCAAUGGAUAGAGACACCUGAGCAAACCCAGGCAUUCUAAUGAAAGAGACUCCCGGCCGACCCCAGGCAGUCUAAUAAUAGAGACACGUGAGUGGACACAGGCAUUCUAAUAGGAGAGAUUCCUGGCUGACCCAAGCAGUCUAAUUAUAGACACCUGGGUGACUCCAGGCUUUCUAAUAGGAGAAACCCCAGGCUGACCCUAAGCAGUCUGAUGAUAGAGGCUUCUUGGUGACGGCAAGCAUUCUAAUGUGAGAGACUCUCGGCCAACCCCAGGCAUUCUAAUGAUAGAGACAUUUGGGAGCCCCCAGUUAUUUUAAUGAUAGAGACACCUGAGCGACCCUAAGCAUUCUAAUGGGAGACAACAAGGCUGAAACCAGGCUUUCUAAUGGGGAGACACCUGGCUGAUCCCCAACAGUCUAAUCAUAAAAAACACCUGGAUGACUCCAGUCAUUUUAAUGGCAGAGACUCCCGGUCUACCCCAGGUGUUUUAAUGGGGAGACUUCUGACCGACCCCAGGCAGUCUAAUCAUAAAGACAGCUGGGCUAAGCCAGACAGUCUAAUGAAAGAGAUUGCCAGCCGAACACUGGCUGUUUAAUUAUAAAGACACUUGGGCAAUCCCAGGCGUUCCAAUGGAGGAGACUCCCAGCUGACCACAAGCAGUCUAAUGGUAUUGACACCUGGAAGUCCCAAGACAUUCUAAUGGAAGAGAUUCCCGUCCUACCACAGGCAUUCUAAUGAUAGAGAUACCUGGGCCACCCCAGGCAUUCUAAUGGGAGAGACUCCUGGCUGACAACAGACAGUCUAAUGAUAGAGAAACUUGGGCGAACCCAGUAUUCUGAUUGGAGAGAUUCUAGGCAGUCUGAUAGUGACAACUGGGCAACUACAGGCAUUCUAAUGGGAGAGGCUAAUGGCUGACCACAGGCAUUUUAAUUGGAGAGAAUCCUGACUGACCCAAGGAAAUUUAAGGAUAGAGACACCCGGGUGAUCCCAGACAUUCUAACGGGAGAGACUCCUGACCGACACCAGACAGUCUAAUUACAGAGACACUUGGGCUAUCCCAGGCAUUCUACUGAAAGUGACUCCCGUUUGACUCCAGGCAGUCUAAUGAUAGAAAUACCUGGUUGACUUCAGGCAUUGUAAUGGGAGAGACCCCCAUCCAAUCCCAGGCAGUCUAAUGAUAGAGACAGCUGGGCGACCCCAGGCGUUCUAAUAGAGUAUCGGCUAACCACAGGCAGUCUAAUGAGAGAGACAACGUGGAGACCUGAUUCAUUCUAAUCAAAGAGACUCCCAGCGAACCCCAGUCAUUCUAGUAAAAGAGACACUUGUCCGACUUCAGGCAGUCUAAGUAUAGAGACUGCGGGGCAACCCCACACAUUCUAAUGGGAGAGAGUCUGGGCCAAACCCAGGCAGUCUAAUUAUAGGACACGUGAGCGACCAAACUCAUUCUAAUGGGAGAAACUCCUGGCGGGCCCCAUGCCACCUAAUGAUAGAGACACUUGGACGACCCCAGGCAUUCUAAUGGGAAAGAUUCUUGGCCGACCCCAUGCUGCCUAAUGAUAGAGACAUCUGAGUGAACCCAGGCAUUCUAAUGAGAGAUGCUCCUUGCCUAUUCCAGGCAUUCUAAUGACAGAGACACCUGGGCAACCCCAGGCAUUGUAAUGAUACAGACAUGUGGGCGAUUUCAGGCAUUCUAAUGAAAGAGACUCCCUGCGGACCCAGGCAUUCUAAUGAGAGAGACUCUCAGCCGAUCUCAGGCAGUCUAAUGAUAGAGACACUGGAGUGACCAAAAGGAUUUUAAUAAAAGAGACUACCGGGCAACCACAGGCACAGACAAUCUAAUAAUAGAGACACCUGGGUGACUUUAGACAUUUCAGUGGGAGAGACUCCCAGCCGGCCCCGAGCAAUCUAAUGAUAGAGACACCUGGGAAACCUCAUGUAUUCUAAUGGGAGAAACUUUUGGCUGGCCCCAGACAUUCUAAUGGGAGAGACUGCUGGCCGACCCCAGGCAGUCUAAUGAUAGAGACACCUUGGCCACCCCCGUAUUCUAAAGGGAGAGACUAUUGACAGUCCCCAGAUUUUUUAAUGAUACAGACACCUGCGUGAGCCUAAGCAUUUUAAAAGGAGAGACUCUUGGUGACCACAGACAUUCUAAUAAUAGAGACACCUUGGCGAUUCCAGUCAUUCUAAUAGGAAAGACUCUCUUCUGAACCCAGGCAUUGUCUUGGGAGAUAAUCCUGGCUGAACCCAGACAGUCUAAUUAUAAAGACACCUGGGCAAGCCUAGGCAUUCUAAUGGGAGAUACCUCCCCAGUGUCCCCAGGCAGUCUAAUGAUAGAGACACCUUGACGACCACAGGCAUUAUUAUGAGAGACACACUUUGCCAAACUCAGGCAGUCUAAUGCUAGAGACAAUUGGGCGACAAGCAUUCUAGCGGGAAAAACUCCCGGCUGACCCCAGGCAUUGUAAUAAAAGAAAAGCCUGAGUGAUCCCAGCCAUUUUCAUGGGAGAGACACUUGUUCGACCCCAGGCAUUCUUAUGGGAGGGACUACUGGCCAACACCAGACAGUCUAAUAAAAAAGACAUGUAGAUGACCCCAUGCAUUCUUUUUUUUUCACACUUUAAAUACUUUAUUUAUAUAAAAACUCAUUUGUUUUUAAAAGCAUUAACAAGACAGAAAGAAAAGAGAAAAAGUAUGGAGCAGAACACAAGCCCGUUAGCAGUGUUCGGUGGGAAGGUGGGAUUUUUGGUUCUCUGGAAUUGAAUGUUUAGUGUUUUUAUAAACAAAAGAGGAAAAAAAAGUUAAAGGUCCCCAAAAGCCCAUGGCUAUCCUAUUACCCAUACCCCACUGAGAAGGGAGGGGGCAGGGAUAGCAUUAGGAGAUAUACCUAAUGCUAAAUGACGAGUUAAUGGGUGCAGCACACCAACAUGGCACAUGUAUACGUAUGUAACAAACCUGCACGUUGUGCACAUGUACCCUAAAACUUAAAGUAUAAUAAUAAUAAAAUUAAAUA